GCAGGUUCCGGCGGCAGUAGUCGUUACCACCCUUAUGGAAGGUAGACAUAUACUUAAGCUUCCCAAUAGAAGUUGCACGCAGGUUCCAAUGUCACUCUUCGCGUCCUAUGGUUCCAUUGUCACUAGGCACUACUGCAAGAGGCACUAAGCUAGAAGAUGAGAUGAACCAUUAGUUUGUCCCUGGGUCUACUCUGUGGCAUGGACAUCCAAAGUUAGAUUAUCACUAAUUUGGAGACUUUGUCAAUUAUUGGCUUGUGAUUCUAGUUAGGCAUGUAUUGUGUGCUAUGUAUGAAUGAAUGUCAUCAUAUUUUGAGACUUCGACACUUACUGACAGUUACUGUUAUGUGAUCAGCCUAGAGUACGAGAUAUAUUUUGUCAAUUAUUGGUUUGUGAUUCUAGUUAGGCAUCUAUUGUGUGCUCUGUAUGAAUGAAUGUCAUCAAAAUACACUUACUGUUAUGUGAUCAGCCUAGAGUAUGACAUAUAUUUUCUCAAUUAUUGACUUGUGAUUCUAGUUAGGCAUCUAUUGUGUGCUAUGUAUGAAUGAAUGUCAUCAAAAUACACUUACUAUUAUGUGAUCAGCCUAGAGUAUGACAUAUAUUUUCUCAAUUAUUGGCUUGUGAUUCUAGUUAGGCAUCUAUUGUGUGCUAUGUAUGAAUGAAUGUCAUCAAAAUACACUUACUGUUAUGUGAUCAGCCUAGAGUAUGAUAUAUAUUUAGUCAAUUAUUAUUGGCUUGUGAUUCUAGUUAGGCAUCUAUUGUGUGCUCUGUAAGAAUGAAUGCCAUCAAAAUACACUUACUGUUAUGUGAUCAGCCUAGAGUAUGACAUAUAUUUUCUCAAUUAUUGGCUUGUGAUUCUGGUUAGGCAUCUAUUGUGUGCUAUGUAUGAAUGAAUGUCAUCAAAAUAUACUUACUGUUAUGUGAUCAGCUUAGAGUAUGACAUAUAUUUUCUCAAUUAUUGGCUUGUGAUUCUAGUUAGGCAUCUAUUAUGUGCUAUGUAUGAAUGAAUGUCAUCAAAAUACACUUACUGUUAUGUGAUCAGCCUAGAGUAUGAGAUAUAUUUAGUCAAUUAUUGGCCUGUGAUUCUAGUUAGGCAUCUAUUGUGUGCUCGGUGUGAAUGAAUGUCAUCAUAUUUUGAGACUUCGACACUUACUAACAGUUACUGUUAUGUGAUCAGCCUAGAGUAUGAGAUAUAUUUUGUCAAUUAUUGGCUUGUGAUUCUAGUUAGGCAUCUAUUGUGUGCUCUGUAUGAAUGAAUGUCAGCAUAUUUUGAGACUUCAACACUUACUGUUAUGUGAUCAGUCUAGAGUAUGAGAUAUAUUCAAACAUAGUUCUAUUCUUUUGUUAACAUUUCUACUUCUCAGUUGGCAAGACUGUCAAUCAGGACUGCACAUCUUGUUUAGAUAAUAGUUCAAUGUUUAUAUUUGUGUGCUUCUAUUGCUAUCAGAUAUCACAAGAAUUAGAAGAAGACUCUUAGAGUCAUCUGCUUGGUUAGUAGCAGUCAGAUCCUGUAACUGAAAUGUAUGUUGUCUUUCUUGCUUUAUACUAUGUGGUGCAGGGGAAUGUGAUUUUUGAAGGGGCACCACCACCUAGCUUACCACCACCUGGCUUACCACCAAGAAGCAAGAUCGAGUUUAGGAUCCAACUUGUUCUCUUUUGCCUGGUCAUGGUAGCAAUCGUGUCAUUUCUUCUUUGGUUGUUCUCACCUAGAUUGCACUCACUCUACUAUGAAUGGGGAAUGAGAAGGAAUUGGGGGAUUUCAAUGACGCUGUUUCCUGUGAAUUCUGGCCCACCAACAGCACCCUCACCAUCUGCUACUGAUCGGCCCAGACCAACACCAACAGCACCUCCAAUCCCAAGUCCUCCACGCGUCCUCAGCUGCCAUGUAUGUGGAUAUCCCAGUUGUCAUUUAUAUGUGGCUUGUCCAUAUUGUGGCCAGAUUUUCACAUUAUCUGUAAUUUAAUUAGUUUCUAUUUCACUAUUAGAUUAAAUAGUAAGACUUAUUGGUACUCUAUUCUAGUUUAAUUAUAUGGAUUGGCAAAUAUUAGUAAAAGCUCCUCAAUUAAUGAAAAUAGACUCGCAAAUUUAUUUAUGUGAAAAUUUUAUUUAUUUUAUACAAAUUGAAUAAUAACAUUUUUGGGCACUACUAAAUUUUUUUUGAAUAAAAUUUUCUAUUUAAUUUAUCAAACACUACAAUAUACUUUAGUCAUAAAAUAAAUUAAUCUCCCUUUCAACCAUUAAUGAGUUAUCAAUUUCAAAACUUGAAAUACACAGGCAGACUGGCAAUGAGAAGAAAGAGAAAAUAAAAUAAAAAAUGAAAUUAAAAGAUAAGGAGCCGGGGCCAGCCCCAAACAAAAAAACGUUCAUAAUUCCUCUCUCUCUCUCUCUCUCUCUGACAUUUACCAAUAAUGGUAGCUUCUUCUUCUUCCCUCCACACACGCAGUGGCCAUCGUAUCCUAUCUUUUCUUUUUCCUCCUCUCCUUUCCUUUCUCUCUCCGAAUCCUUCCUUCUCCCUCUCUUUGUUGGCUUCAAGAUUGACCAAAAACCUAUCCAAAAUGUCUGUAGGCAAAAGAAGAAAUAGACAGAAACGGUAAUUCAUUAAUUUCCAACUUAUUUUGGAAUGUUUAGUUGAGAUCUCAAUGAACAUGUUGGUAUAAAUUGUAUUUGUUUCAAUGAACAGCUGUUUCAAGGAAGAACAAAGGAAAUGGCUGCUUCCAAAUCCUUUAUUUUGCUGCUGGCUAGUCUUCUCAUAGUGGACACAGCGUCUGCAUCUGCACCUGCACCUCCACCCAACGCCGCCGAUGCCGCCACUGAUGUAUGUUUUUCGUUUUUGCCUUUUGUUUUUCGAGUUUGUGGUAAAUCUGUGGUAAAUCUUCAUAUUUUUUGUUUUUCAAGUUUGUGGAGAUAAUAGCUGCAUCUGCAUCUGCUGCACCACCACCAGACGAGUGGUUGAGAUAGAGAGGGAACAGGUGGGCUGUCGUAGUUGGAUGGGGUGGUUCUCUGUCUAGGUUGGCUGGUGAUAAGCUAGAGAAGGGUGGAGUUGGGCUCGGUGGGAUGAUGGGAGGUUAACUUAAUAGAGUUAGCAGUGUUAAAAGUGCUGUUAAGUGGUUUCCCACAUGUGAAAAACUUAGGAGAGAAACCGGGUUUAGGGUUUAGGGUUUAGGGUUUAGGUUGGCUGGUGACAAGCUAGAGAAGGGUGGAGUUGGGCUCGGUUGGAUGAUGGGAGGUUAACUUAAUAGAGUUGACAGUGUUAAAAGUGCUGUUAAGUGGUUUCCCACAUGUCAAAAACUUAGGAGAGAAACAGGGUGAAACAUGGCAUUUAGUAAAAGGCAAAUUGGUUCAGGACUUGGUGCUAGUUAUGGUGGACCUCGAGGCUUGUAAGGUAGUAGGGCAGGUUCUGGCGGCAGUAGUCGUUACCACCCUUAUGGAAGGUAGACAUAUACUUAAGCUUCCUAAUAGAAGUUGCACGCAGGUUCCAAUGUCACUCUUUGCGUCCUAUGGUUCCAUUGUCACUAGGCACUACUGUAAGAGGCACUAAGCUAGAAGAUGAGAUGAACCAUUAGUUUGUCCCUGGGUCUACUCUGUGGCAUGGACAUCCAAAGUUAGAUUAUCACUAAUUUAGAGACUUUGUCAAUUAUUGGCUUGUGAUUCU
rnacentral:lncRNA from 1 species